rnacentral:rRNA from 1 species
ACUCCUACGGGAGGCAGCAGUAGGGAAUAUUGCUUAAUGGGCGAAAGCCUGAAGCAACAACGCCGCGUGUGCGAUGAAGGCCUUCGGGUUGUAAAGCACUUUUUGCUGGGAAGAGGAAGGACGGUACCAGCAGAAUAAGCCUCGGCUAACUACGUGCCAGCAGCCGCGGUAAU